UACGAAGGGGGCUAGCGUUGUUCGGAAUUACUGGGCGUAAAGCGCGCGCAGGCGGUCUUCCAAGUCAGUGGUGAAAGCCCGGAGCUCAACUCCGGAACUGCCAUUGAAACUGUUAGACUUGAGGAUGAGAGAGGUGAGUGGAAUUCCCAGUGUAGAGGUGAAAUUCGUAGAUAUUGGGAAGAACACCAGUGGCGAAGGCGGCUCACUGGCUCAUUUCUGACGCUCAGGCGCGACAGCGUGGGGAUCAAACAAGG
rnacentral:rRNA from 1 species